rnacentral:rRNA from 1 species
AUUGAACGCUGGCGGCAGGCCUAACACAUGCAAGUCGAACGAGUGGCGGACGGGUGUGUAAUGUCUGGGAAACUGCCUGAUGGAGGGGGAUAACUACUGGAAACGGUAGCUAAUACCGCAUACCAUCGGAUGUGCCCAGAUGGGAUUAGCUAGUCGGUGGGGUAACGGCCCACCUAGGCGACGAGCCAUAGCUGGGCUGAGAGGAUGAAGAGCCAGAAUGGAAAUGAGACACGGGCCAGACGCCUACGUGAGGCAGCAGUGGGGAAUAUUGCACAAGGGGCGCAAGCCUGAGGCAGCCAGGCCGCGUGUAUGAAGAAGGCCUUCGGGUUGUAAAGUACUUUCAGCGGGGAGGCGUUACCCGCAGAAGAAGCACCGGCUAACUCCGUGCCAGCAGCCGCGGUAAUAC